UUCAUAACUUUUGAUUCGUUGUAGAAGUGUUAUAUAAAGAGAAUACUUAUAUUCUUUCAGCUUAUAUAUAUAAUUGCUAUUACUUGUUGGGCACUCAAAUGCUCAUCCUUGCUUAAAUUAAAUGUUUUCAGUUACGUAUGAGCAACCUGAAGGUUCAGGCACGCAUAAAGGGAAAGAAAAGCUGUUCGAAUGAGAAUUAGUAUGAGGUAAUGAUUAUAGUUAGUAAGACAAUCGAAUCUAUUGUCAGGUAUUGUAAGGAAUGUAUUUUGAAGGUCACGUACCUGGGGAAGUAAACUUUGAUGUAUAUAAAUUAAAUUUGAAUUAUAUUAUCAUUUAGUAUUAUUCAGCUUAAAGAAAUGGUAUCGUGG
rnacentral:lncRNA from 1 species